GCGAAAGGCUGAUGCAGCGACGCGCGUGAGGGAUGACGGCCUUCGGGUUGUAAACCUCUUUCAGCAGGGAAGAAGCGAAAAGUGACGGUACCUGCAGAAGAAGCACCGGCUAACUACGUGCCAGCAGCCGCGGUAAUACGUAGGGUGCGAGCGUUGUCCGGAAUUUAUUGGGCGUAAAGAGCUUGUAGGCGGUUUGUCGCGUCUGCUGUGAAAAUCCGGGGCUCAACCCCGGACUUGCAGUGGGUACGGGCAGACUAGAGUGUGGUAGGGGAGACUGGAAUUCCUGGUGUAGCGGUGAAAUGCGCAGAUAUCAGGAGGAACACCGAUGGCGAAGGCAGGUCUCUGGGCCACUACUGACGCUGAGAAGCGAAAGCAUGGGGAGCGAACAGGAUUAGAUACCCUGGUAGUCCAUGCCGUAAACGUUGGGCGCUAGGUGUGGGACUCAUUCCACGAGUUCCGUGCCGCAGCUAACGCAUUAAGCGCCCCGCCUGGGGAGUACGGCCGCAAGGCUAAAACUCAAAGGAAUUGACGGGGGCCCGCACAAGCGGCGGAGCAUGCGGAUUAAUUCGAUGCAACGCGAAGAACCUUACCAAGGCUUGACAUAUACCGGAAACACCUAGAGAUGGGUGCCCCGCAAGGUCGGUAUACAGGCGGUGCAUGGUUGUCGUCAGCUCGUGUCGUGAGAUGUUGGGUUAAGUCCCGCAACGAGCGCAACCCUCGUUCUAUGUUGCCAGCGCGUAAUGGCGGGGACUCAUAGGAGACUGCCGGGGUCAACUCGGAGGAAGGUGG
rnacentral:rRNA from 1 species